UUUGAACGCUGGCGGCAUGCUUUACACAUGCAAGUCGAACGGUAACAGGUUAAGCUGACGAGUGGCGAACGGGUGAGUAAUGCAUCGGAACGUGCCCGGUCGUGGGGGAUAACGCAGCGAAAGCUGCGCUAAUACCGCAUACGAUCUGAGGAUGAAAGCGGGGGACCGUAAGGCCUCGCGCGAUCGGAGCGGCCGAUGUCAGAUUAGGUAGUUGGUGGGGUAAAGGCUCACCAAGCCAACGAUCUGUAGCUGGUCUGAGAGGACGACCAGCCACACUGGGACUGAGACACGGCCCAGACUCCUACGGGAGGCAGCAGUGGGGAAUUUUGGACAAUGGGCGAAAGCCUGAUCCGGCAAUGCCGCGUGCAGGAAGAAGGCCUUCGGGUUGUAAACUGCUUUUGUACGGAGCGAAAAGGUCUCCUCUAAUACAGGGGGCUCAUGACGGUACCGUAAGAAUAAGCACCGGCUAACUACGUGCCAGCCGCCGCGGUAA
rnacentral:rRNA from 1 species